rnacentral:rRNA from 1 species
UUGACCUCGGAUCAGGUAGGAAUACCCGCUGAACUUAAGCAUAUCAAUAAGCGGAGGAAAAGAAACCAACAGGGAUUGCCUCAGUAACGGCGAGUGAAGCGGCAACAGCUCAAAUUUGAAAUCUGGCUCUCGGGCCCGAGUUGUAAUUUGUAGAGGAUGCUUUUGGUGCGGUGCCUUCCGAGUUCCCUGGAACGGGACGCCAUAGAGGGUGAGAGCCCCGUCUGGUUGGAUGCCAAUCCUCUGUAAAGCUCCUUCGACGAGUCGAGUAGUUUGGGAAUGCUGCUCUAAAUGGGAGGUAUAUGUCUUCUAAAGCUAAAUACCGGCCAGAGACCGAUAGCGCACAAGUAGAGUGAUCGAAAGAUGAAAAGAACUUUGAAAAGAGAGUUAAAAAGUACGUGAAAUUGUUGAAAGGGAAGCGCUUGUGACCAGACUUGGGCUUGGUUGAUCAUCCAGGGUUCUCCCUGGUGCACUCUUCCGGCCCAGGCCAGCAUCAGUUUGCCCCGGGGGAUAAAGGCGUCGGGAAUGUGGCUCCCUCCGGGGAGUGUUAUAGCCCGGCGCGCAAUACCCUGAGGCGGACUGAGGUUCGCGCAUUCGCAAGGAUGCUGGCGUAAUGGUCAUCAGUGAC